UUCAGAUUGGUUUGCCAUGGCUCUUUGAAACAGUUACUCUUGUCCUCAUUGUAGAGAUGGCGAUACUAAGGCAGAAUAUGGCUAGCCUGGACUUCUUUUUGUGGAGACUGGAUUCCAAGAUUGAAAGUAGAAGCUACAUGUUUUCUCCAAGCAGGGCUUUCAGACUUCACUUCUGCAACAUUUUAUUGAUGAAAGCAAGUCACAAGACCAGACUGAUUCAAGGGGUGGAGAAAUAGACCCUACUUCUUGAUGGAGGGAGGAGUAGAGUUACAUUGCAAAGGGAUCUGGACAAAAAAAGGAGUGAUUUAUUAGGAAUCAUGUUUAACAAUUUACCACAAUCCCCAGCGCAACUGCCUGUUAGCUGGAUCCAGAAAUGUCUACGACUACUGCAAUGCCACUUGGCCUUAGGGGUGAUGUGACCCAGUGUAAAGAGAUGGUGGUCUUAACCAAUCACAGUUAAGAUAGUUUAGUUUUGGAAGGUAUAAAAAAUAUGUAACAACAUGAAUGCACUUUUAGGGUCAGACAAGAGACUUGGAAAGAGCCUGCAAAAUGGAGGAGCCCUGAGGCCUAAGUCUCAUGAGUGUCAAUGCUUACCUGUAUCUAGACACUGGCAUCCCCCUUUUGAUAAGGCCAAGAUUGAUUGUUUUCCUUUUCUACCUACCCUAUAUCUAAUCCAUGUACAAACACUGUUGACACACAAAAGAACCCUAAAUUCAACAAUCUGUGAAGAAUUUUUGCACUAACAUGUUAGUUCAAAAACUCAACAUUGCUUGCUAAGACUAUUGCAAUAAACUCCUCUAUGAUCCCCUAA
rnacentral:lncRNA from 1 species